rnacentral:rRNA from 1 species
UACGUAAGGGCCAAGCGUUGUCCGGAUUUAUUGGGCGUAAAGAGCUCGUAGGCAGUUCGGCAAGUCAGCUGUGAAAUCUCCACGCUCAACGUGGAGGGAUCAGCUGAUACUGCUGUGACUUGAGUCCAAUAAAAAAGUGUGGAAUUCCCAAUGUAGCAGUGAAAUACGCAGAUAUCGGGAGGAACACCAGUAGCGAAGGCGGCACUCUGGGCCGGUACUGACGCUGAGGAGCGAAAGCGUGGGGAGCAAACAGG